GCCACUGUUCAAGUGGCCUUCGCUGGUCGGGUGGGCGUCACCAGGAGGAUGCAGCUUUGCGCCAAAGUCAGGGAGGGCGCCCAAAGCCGCGAACAAGGUUCAGCGCCCUCCAAAGCCAACUCGGUCCUAUUCAAACCUCGCGAGCCCAUUGGAACAGCCCCCUGGGGCGGCACAUACGUAAGCCGCCUGAGUGGCGUCUCUUGGCUCCAGUGAAUGGCCUGCUUCGUGCUAGCUCUGCCCCCACCCCCCAGGAGGGAGGAAUGGCCCAGGAUGGAGGAAAUCCUGGAAGACUUCUUAGAGGAGGAGCAAACUGAUCCUUGAGGAAGGGUGCAAAGAAAUCCAUCCCACAGAGAAGAGGGAGAAAGACAUGAAAGAGUAUUAGUGGCAGGGGGACAGUGUGAAUAAAGGCCAGGAGGUUUGUAAGUGAGAAAAGGAGGAGAGAUGGACUGUGGAUGGAGCAGGAAAUGGGGAUGGAAGACCUUUCAUCUGUGAAAGGCCCUGAGUGACAGAGUCCUGGGCCUGGAUUCCCCAGGGGAAGCCGCGUGCUCCCUAACUGGACCCUCCGAGGGCUUCCGUCCUAAGUCCGAAGUAAGACUGUGGAGUUUGGAACCUUGAAGAAAGAGCGCCCUAGUUUCCACCAAAGGCCAAUCAGGAUCCUGAAAUCUGACCAAUCAGAUGAUUGGAGGUGGGGCCAUGUAGAGUAAGCCUCACCCCCAGCCUCUGCAAAAGAGGAGAGGAAAGGUUUUGCUCCAAUUCUUACAACCAGCUCCAACCUGCUGGUUGACUCCCGAAUCCCUGGGGGCUGAAAGGAUGCAGUGAGUGUUCCUCAGACAGGCCAAGCUGGUCCCUCCCACCCAGCCUUUGAUCUUGCCCGUGCUUUCUGCUUGGACAGCUCUUUCUCCUCAUCAUCACUCUGGCUGGCUCCUGAGUACCAUUCAGGUCUCAACUCAAAUGUCACCUCCUUAGAAAGGCCUUCCCAGCGCACCUAUCUGAAGCUUCAGGCAUUACUCUGUAUUGUAUUAUCCUUUUGUAUUUUUAUUAUUUGUUAAA